AAUCGAAUGCUGACCUGGGGUCCUUGCAUGAAGAGGUAGAGAGUGUAAUUCAGCCAAGGAUGACUUGCCGAAAGCGCUGAUUAUACCAUGCCUACCAGGUACUUCUCAUGAACAUAUCACACCGGAUUACAAAGCCAGCCCCUUCAAUUAUGUCAACUGGUGAUCAAAAGGGCAGUAUAUGCACAGUCUUUUUUUUCAGUUAUUUAUUUAUUUUUAAUUAUACCAAUCUUAAUUUUCUCUAGCAGGCAAGUCAUAUUUGAAUUAUAUCGGCCAAACUUAGCUUAGUGGUCGAAACAUCGCUCACCUUGAAUAAUG
rnacentral:misc_RNA from 1 species